UCCGAACACGUUCAUGGAAGUGCGUGUGUGCGCAGCCGUCUAGCGAUGGCACGUACAUGAGUGCUGUGAAUCUGUCGGUGUGUCAGCAGCAAGGCACAGUGGACAGUGAGAGAGAGAGAGACAAGUCUUCCUUCUGUUGGUUCACCCCCAAAUGGCUACUGUGGCUGGCGCGCUGCACCGAUCCGAAGCCAGGAGCCAGGUGCUUCUCCUGGUCUCCCAUGCGGGUGCAGGUCCCAAGCACUUGGGCCAUCCUCCACUGCACUCCCGGGCCACAGCGGAGAGCUGGCCUGGAAGAGGGGCAACCAGGACAGAAUCUGGCGCCCCGACCGGGACUAGAACCUGGAGUGCCAGCGCCACAGGCAGAGGAUUAGCCUGUUGAGCCGCGGCGCUGGCCAACAUCUUUACCAUAUAAAAUUCUGUAAGAGGCUUAAGCUGCCGACUGCAGGGCCAGCCUCCCAUAUAGGUGCUGGUUUGAGUCCCACCUGCUCCACUUUCCAGUCCAGCUCCCUGCUAAUGCGCCUGGGAAGCAGUGGAAGAUGGCCCAAGUACAAGAGGCCACCCAUGUGUGAGACCCGGAUGGAGUUCCAGGCUCCUGGCUUCUGUCUGGCUCACCCUGGCCUCUCUCUUCUCUCUCUCUCUCUCUUCUCUCUCUCUCUCUCUCUCUCUUUCUCUCUCUCACUCUAACUCAGCUUUUCAAAUAACUGAAAACAAAUAUUAAGACACGCUGCGAGAUGGAAAAACACUAGGGCUGUCCCAGAUGGUGGCCUCUUGCCGGCCCUGUGUUAAGACGCCAGAGUGCGGGGGACACCCUCUGGGUGUGGGUCUCCUGGACCAGAGCGUGUGAAUGGGAGGGGGUGGGUGUGCCGGAGGGAGGGGAGCCAGGCGUGCCCUCCUGCCUGGAUGUGCCCGUGCAGGAGAGGGUGUGUGUGUGUGCGUAUGUAGCCUCGUGCAGAGGUGGAUGACGUUCGAGUCUCGUGCCUGGCACCCUUCUCAUCCCCCUUGGAGGGACCCAGACAAUGUCCUGGCUUCCCAUGAGUGGCCCUGCCAGGGAUCCGGGGCUCUCCACGGCCUCAGCAGGGGAGGGUGUGGCGCGCGUCCUGCUGGCUCCCAAUGUGGUGUUUGCUCUCUUUGGGAGAGCUCCGUGACCUCUGCAGACCCCAAGGACAAACCCAGGUGUAGGCAGCACCUGCCAUCAACAGCAAAUGCUCCGGCGGUGCGUGGAGAACGCACAGCCCCGAAGCGGCGCGCAGGUCCCUCACCUGGCCUGGCCUGGGAGGGGGGAGGGGCGAGGGGGCGUCCGCAGGUGCGAGGCGGGGGAGCUGGAGCUGGGACCCGCCCGCUCGCUAGGGCGCCAGAGGCCUCCUGGGGCCCAGCCCCCACACCGGGCCAACUGGAAGGCCUGGCUGAGCUAGACGUCCCGCCCACGCCCAGCCCAGGCCGGCUGGAUCGAGGUCCCUCCUGGCCCCCAGGGCGGAUCCUGAGGCCCAGCCAGCCUCAGACACACUGACUCCCCUGUGUGCCGCGCCCCCUCACCCGCGCCCCACUCCAGCAGCUCCAGGUGCCUGCCGGGAUCCCGCCUCCUCCCUACCUGGAGCUACCUUCCUUCAGUCCUGAGACAGGCCCUGGUAUGAAGCAGAGGGUUUGGUGGGUUUGGGGGGGCAGCUGAAUCCCCAUAAAAUCACCUGCCUGGCCGUGCACUUCCUGGAUCACCCUAACAGGUCACGAUCUGCAAUACGCCCCAGCACCCUCUCCAGGGAUCCUGACAACACCAAGAGUGUGAGACCCAUUUCACAGAUGGAAAAACCAAGGAUGGAACCCGGGCGCUUCCCUUUUCCUUUCUCAGUGGACUCCUGAGACAGACAUCAGGACAUUUGCACUCAGGAUGCAAGGACCUGACCAGUCCUCCAAACUCCAGAAGUCACUGAAAAUUAAUGGAGUCCAAGAAGGGGCCAGCGCUGAUGUGUAGCAGGUAAAGCCACUGCCUGCAGUGCCAGUAUCCCAUAUGGGCGUUGGUUUGAGUCCCAGCUGCUCCACUUCCGAUCCAGCUCUCUGUUGUGGCCUGGGAAAGCAGUAGAAGAUGGCCCAAGUCCUUGGGCCUCUGCACCUGCAUGGGAAACCUGGAGGAAGCUCCUGGCUCCUGGCUUCGGAUCAGUGUAGUUCCAGCCGUUAUGGACAAUUGGGGAGCGAACCAGCAAAUGGAAGACCUCUCUCUCUCUCUCUCUCUCUCUCUCUCUCUCUCUGAGUGUGUGUAUGUGUGUGCGUAACUCUGACUUUCAAAUAAAUAAAUAAAUCUUAAAAAAAAAAAAAAGAAAAA